rnacentral:rRNA from 1 species
UACAGAGGGUGCGAGCGUUGUCCGGAAUCACUGGGCGUAAAGGGCGCGUAGGUGGCACGACAAGUCAGUGGUGAAAGCUCGACGCUCAACGUCGAGUCGGCCACUGAUACUGUUGAGCUGGAGCACUGUAGAGGCUAAUGGAAUUCAGGGUGUAGCGGUGGAAUGCGUAGAGAUCCGGAAGAACACCGGUGGCGAAGGCGGUUAGCUGGGCAGUUGCUGACACUGAGGCGCGACAGCGUGGGGAGCAAACAGG